GGAAGUGAUUCGUUAUGAGUUUAGAAAUUGAACGGAAAACCCGAGAAAUUAGAUGCAGAUAUGGACAAUGUGGAAGGCAGGCGUGUGCUGUAGAGAUAUUCAGCUUUCAAUUUAAAGGUAUAAUUUCUUCAUCUUCCUUUCUCAUUGCUGAUAUACCUUAACUUGUAAAAGUAUUAGGUGCUCCGAUUCCUUAGAUGGGCAUUUAGGGUUUACGCUUCUGCUUCCCGGGAUAACACUGAGAAUCAUGUACUCUUCGUCAAUGUUGAGUUGUUCGCCGUUCAUGUCAUUAUUAUUAUGAGUAGUUGUGGGGAGGACAAUGUGGUUGAUGAUCUAGAAAAGGCAACUAAGGAAACAAACAAAUGGUAGUUGGAAGCUAGAGGAAGCUCAAAAUAAAUGAAAGAAAGAAUACAUAAAGUUGACUCCUAAAAACUUGUCUCCACUGUGUCGGUUUAAUACUCUGAUGACAAAAUAAUCAUCUAGAAACCUUUAAAUCUGUGUGUCACAUCGUGUCGGGUGUCCACAAGACACAAUAGGGACGAGUUGGAGUGUUUAGUUGCAAUGGACACUAUGCACUCUCGAACUUGCCCGCAGAGGCCAAGUAUGAAUGUAUGUUUAUGUAGUGUGGUUCUUGAUCAAUAACUGGAAACAACCUCUUUAUUUUCUCAAGGUUAGGGUAAGGAUGCAUAUGCACCACACUCCUCCCUAGACCCACUUGUGGGAUUAUACUUAGAUUGUGGUUGUUGGUUCUUACUCAAUAGACUGCAAAUUUGUGUAAUGUGUUACCUUUAGGAUGCGUUUUGAUAUGGAGUUCUAUGUCAUGGAUGUUUUACCCUAAAAUAUAAUUUGUUUGAAUCAUUUUCUACUCUAUGAUUGAAUAUAGAGUUUGGUGAUAUAUGGUAAUUUUGCAAAGUGUAUAAGAUCCGACAUGGGAAUAGUGUUUCGACAUAAAUUUGAAUAUUGAAGGUUGAUAUAGAAAAAAAACCAUUCAUUGAAGUAAGAGACGUGGAGUAAGAUUUAGGAUAUUUGUAAAGGAAAAUUACUUCCACUAAUAAGUGACUGAAGUCAUUUCCAUUCUUCUGGUGAAAAAUCGUGUGCAGAGAAUAUUUUCAACACUUAAAGAUAUAUAAGUAAACAAAAAGGAAUUUCUGUUUGAAGGGAAGUGAUUUCAGCCAUUUUAAACACACUGCCUCUUAUAACCAGUUGGUAGAUUUAACAAGUGUGCAGUUGGAGAUUUUAUGUAUACAAAUCUUAACUUAUACGAAGACAACAGAACAAGCUUACAGUGAAAGGUACGUUCACAAAGAUAAUGUACAUAAAACUACAUCAAACAAUUUUAACCAAAUCAAUGCUUACUUUACAAGAAUAUACAAUCAACAUACCUUAUUUCACCUUUUCAAGAAUGGAAUGAUGACGUACAUAAAUCUCCAACUUAUGUUACGAGAAUAUGUGUACCAGGUAUCCUUUCACCUUUUCAGGAACUGAAUGAUGAUUGAUGAGCAGAAUUAAUAGCUAUCCG
rnacentral:lncRNA from 1 species